UCUCUCGCUGGCUGUCUCUCUGUCAAAUAAAUAAAUAAAAUCUUUAAAAAAAAAAGAAAAAGGUUAAAUUGCCACUUCACAGCCGUGGGACUCUAAAAGUAGGGAUAAUUUUACUGCUUUGACUCUUCUGUUCGGGCAGAAUGGAUUGAGCCAAAGAGCAUUCCCGCUGAAUGUCUCGAGUCCCUUUUUGUUUCGGCAACAGGACAAAUGAUUAACGUUAUUUAAUUAAGCUGGUAUUUCUUACACCAGCAUUUGGGUGCUUUUACCCCUCCCACUAUGAGGGCAAAGGUCAUGCAUGGCUGUGUCUGUCUACAGCUGUGCCUUGCACAUGGAAUGAUUGUUUGCUUUUUUGGUUCAUCAAAAAAUGAAGUUGAAAGCACCAUGACAGGACUUGUGUGUGAUCAUGCUUGACCAUUUCAAGGGUCUCAAAAGCUCUGACUUUGCACAAGGCUUCCAGGCUACUACAGAAAUGAAUGUCAACAACUGCAGAACAAACUAGAAUAUGGGAAGAAUCCUAAAAGCCAUGCAAAGUUUUCUCAGAGCUGGAGAAGUCUGAGCUUACUAAUGACUGAGGAGAUGUGGUGACAGAUAUCCUUCACGGAAUGUGCCCUUUGGCCACCUGAUCAGGACACAGAUGCGGACUGUUAGCCACAACUCUGAAGUCUCCUGCCUCCCUUGUGUUGUAGUGUUUUUUUCCCCCCGAAACCUUUAUUAAAUGCUCAAACUCUGUUUUAAGAGUAUGUGGUUUAGGGACACACGUGGAGAGGAUGAAGGUCGGGUGAGCAGAAGAAUUAAGGAUGUGAGUUAAAAGAUACUGGUAUUAUCUCCCCUUCUCAGACAGUGUCUUACUUAUGGAUUAUAAGGAGGCUAGCUGUUAAAUCUCCUUCUGCCUUAUGUGUAUCUCUGACAGAUUGGGAAUGACUCAGGUAAUGAGCUCGUGGCACUAGAUAAUUUCCCUUUUACCACAAACGAAUGUAGCUUCUUUGAAAUCGCUUUUGGUGAGUUCUAAUGUUUAGUCCUUGCGAGGCUACCUCCGGUAGGCACUGCUUUCUGCUUGAGUCCCAGGAUGAGGAACGUUAGAGCUCUGGGCAUUUUUGGCAUUUUGCCCCCAGGGAAAGCGGCUGAGGGAGGAACUGCUCAAGGUCACAAGGUGGUAGAGCUAGCUUCUGCAGUUUGGGGUGGGGGGAGGUUGAACUUUGCCCUCAGUCGGAAGGGUAAAAGAACCCAAAGGCUGGUGUAAGCGAAAUACCAGCUGUUUGGGGUGGGGUGGGGGGAGGGUGAAUGCUGUUGCAAUUUAGGUCCAUGCUGAGUUUCCAAUAAAAUAUUUCAGGAAAUCAGGUUGAAAUUUCCUGCUUGUGCGUCUAAAUUAGUUAUGCCUAAUUUGUAUCAAUACAGGUCAAAUGAAACACUAUAGGUGUGUACCUGUUGUCUUUAACAUCUAAACUCGAGUUCUUCUUGGUUGUGGGAUCUGUGAAAUCUGGACUAUUAAAAGGAUACUCCCCUCUCCAUCGAUGCAUAUGUUAGAUUUGGAGCUUACGUUGUGGUAAGGUACCCUAACGACGUCUCUUAAGCUCACAUUUAUGUAACAUUUUAUGUCCUUUACUUUUAUAAGAUCUUUGGCAAAUUCUCUUUCUGAGGUCAAGUGAGUUAUUUCAGUGAACAGAUCUGGUUACUGCCCAUAACCCUAAGGAGAGUUGGAGUCUUCAGUAAUAAAUUAGCCUAGCUGUCCUCUACUUUGCUGGUCGAAUGACCCUUUGGAGAGAUGCUCAAUCGACUUCUUUGCGUUCUAGUUACUGCCCCCACCUGCCCAGCCAGGCACCUGCGGCACCUGUGGCACAUGCACCUGAACAGAACGAGGAGACAGCUCUCUUUCAGUCCUUGGUAACUUGGUAACAGCUAUGCUGUUCCACGGCAUACCUGCUGCAUUUGAGUGCGUGAGGCGGGUUAGGGGGGUGGAACGGAACAGCUUUCAAGGACUGGGGAGUCAGCUUGGCCUUGCUGAGGGGGUUGGGGGGAUACCAGCCUCCCUGAUGGGCUUCUUCUGUAAAAGGGAGUGACCUGGGGAGUUUGGUGAGUCUGGCUGGUCAUUCCGCUUGCUGAGUGCCCCAAGGACACAGCCGUGAGCGGGAUGACACACGUAUCUUCAUGGAGCCUGUAGGCUGGAGAGGAUAGGUUGUGAACCGGUGGCCAUGAUUCUGGUUGUGUGAAGUCCUAGGAAGAAGAGAAGAGGGCAGGGACACUGCCAGGUAAAGGCCUUCCCGAGUAAGGGACAGCUCGGCUGAGACUCACAGGUUGAAGGAACCAGAACCUGACCCAGCACUUGGCUGCACACCAGCCUUUUUAUCUUUUAUGUUAAUUUCUAUGUGAAAAAGGAGUAGAUAAAAUAAAUCAGGUGAUAAACUUGUAAAUAUUGGGGCAAGCCUGUAACACUCAUUUUUAGCCUUGAAAAUUCAAAUUUAACAGACUGAUCCAUUGAAAGUGCUGCUGGGAUUGGCUAUGGUUUUCUCAUUCCUACUUGGUUCCUAACAUCAUGUCUUCCUUUGUUUUGUUGUUUUUUUAUGAGCCAUUCCCCAUUCAUAAUUGACACUUAAACUUGGGGAUUCGUAGCGGAAAUCAUUUUGGAAUUCCAGCCCUUGCCAGAUAGAUCAACUGCAAAACCGACGGGUGGGAAGGGGAGACUGGAGUCACCAAAGCUUGGGUCUGCGUCCCCGUGGUGCCAUUUAUCAUCCGUGUAACAUUGGCAAAGGCUCGUAACCUCCAAACCCUCCAUCUCCAGAGCUAUAAAACAGGCCUAAUAAUGCCAGUCUCGGGGCGCUUUGGGAGUGUGCGGUCAUGGUGAGUAACAUGCCCAGCUUGGGGUGUAGGGUGCUUGUGCUCUUCAGAACCAGUUACAUUUUCUUCCUCCCCUUGUCCUUUGUAGGUGAGCCAGUUCCGGCCACUCACCAGAGUUUGUGGGCUUAGCCUUGCGUUUGGGCCCUGCUGGCUUUAUAGCCGAUGCGUGUAGACAGGACCCAGCGCUCCCUUGGUUUCUUAAAGCAGAUGAAAAAUCACAUACUAGCCAGACUUUUUUUUUUUUUUAAGAGAUUGGCCGUAUUGUUGGUAAGUAUUUAAUCUCUGUGAGCUAUGUGGAUUACUAUCUAUUAAAAAUAGAACAGCUUGCUUUUGUGUUUUCCGUGUCAAUCAGAACUCGGUUUCUCCACAUUGGAGCUCCCUUUGGAAGGGUCUAUACUGAGAUCCAGCUGCUGGUGUCUAACUGCUCACUUUUCUUGUGAUGGGUGCUUUGCCUGGGUGAACCCAAGGGGACUUGGCGGGGCCGUUGUGAUGAUGGGGUUCAGCAGCUGCCCCGGAAACAGCAGCCUGAGGUGAGGUCAGGGAAGAGGGAGGCUGUUGGUCUCUCCUCCGUGUGCCAGUGAACCACAUCCUCGUGCAGUUACCACCUGACUUCCUUGGCACACUUUGGUGAGUGGUUCUGUCCUCCCUUUGGUCAGGUACAGUUUUGAACUUGAGAUUUAAAGGAUGGGGGUAGGCAGGAAGGACUACCCUGUCUACACUGUGCCAUCCUCUUACUACCCGAGGAAUGGGUUGGAAGUGCCCUUGCACUGUUCUGCCCAAAUGGCAUCAUCCUCGUGGCAAGAAUGCAAUCAUGGAUGGCCUACAUCUUUUCCUAGUUGAUGUCUUGACCAAAUCCUUCCAAAGGCAGUGCUCGCCCUGACAUGGUGUGAGGCUAGUGCCGUUCCAGAUGCCACACUACCAUCUCCUUGCCUGCUCCCGCGUUCCUUGAUGACCUGGCACUUAAUCUACACUCUUCCUCUCGAACCUGAGCCACGCCAGCCCUUAGCUGACUUGAGUCACCAGCACUCAGGUCUGUAUUUUGGCCUCUGCGAUUCCAUUACCUCAUCUCCCCCCUUCAGCUGCCAUAUCCCAGUCCUUGUUGUCCAGAAGAGUAGCACCGCAUCUGGAAUCUCAAACCCCCGAUACCCUGUCCUCUCCAGCUUCCCCCUUCUUUCCUGUUGGCCCUUUAUUUCAGCCUCAGACAUUUGGUUUUCUGAUCCCUCCUUUCUUUCCCAGACUGCAUCCUCAGCAUCCCGUCCUGCUUCUGUCUGAUAAGACUUCACCCUUGGAUCAACCCACUUUUGUCUCUAUACUUCUGGAACCCCGGGACCUGCUGGAGGAAACACCGCUCACAUAGGAACCAAAGGUAGCAACUUACCUGCCACGUGACAAAAUGUACCGUGUAAAUAAAUCUUCGUCCUAGUAGAGACGUCUGUCGCGCAAACGUGGAGAUGGAGGGGUGUCUUGGCUCAUGCUGCGUACCCUUCCGCCGGCUCGGUACCAGCAGCCAGCUCUCAAGUGGCCCUCAGUGACUGUUCUCAGAGAGAGUCGGAGGGAAUGUGACCCAGUUCUGUGAAUGAAAUGAAAUGUGAAGGACAGUGUGUAUUACUGGGGUGGCUUUGCUCCCCUAAUGAAAAGAUAAAACCUCAAGAGAAGACAGCCCGUCUUCCUCCUUCCUGCCCCAAAACCAGCGUGAUGGCAUUUUAGGACCGUGAGGAAAAGACUAGGAGAAUUUGGGUCGUCAGUCCAGCACCGUGGAGCUGGGAAGCCACCGGUGCCACCAGGCUCGUGUGAGCCCUGGCAUGGAUGCGUCCUCGACACACUGAAGCAGAUCUUUUGAACGCUCAGCCAACAGUGACACUUCCCUGCCAGAACGGAGAAUUAGUACCUGGACGUGCUUGCACUCGAAAGCCUGAUGGCCACACCGGGUUAGCCACGUCCAGGCGCUCCGCCUGCUUCCUACACGGGUCCUUCCUGUCCUGGGUUCUUCCUGUCCUUCCCUCACUGGGUACAGUGGUGACUCCAACCCUGACACCGCUCCCAGAGAGGCUGGCGCUCUGCCCCCAGCCCUGUGCACUCCUUCCUCGUACUUCCAGGCUGUGUCGGACUUUCCGUCUGUUUCCCCAGCAAACUGUACAGAAGACAAAACAGCUGCAGGUCAGUUCACCAGCGACCCGGGGCUCCCUAUGAGGUGCCCGGGGCUCAUGGGGACACACAGGGCGGCCAGGCGCCAGGCACACUUCACCCAAGCCUCUUCAGGUGGAGGGGUGCCAUUGGAGCUCGCUAACUUGGUGGGAGGCACAGCACUCGAGUCAUAAAAACCCUCCAGGGGCACCUGGGUAGCUCAGUUAAGUGUCCGACUCUUGAUUUCAGCUCAGGUUAUGAUCUCGGGGUCGUGAGGUGGAGCCCCUCAUUGGGUCCACACUCAGCAGGGAGUCUGCUUGAGAUUCUCUCCCUCUGCAGCAAACCUUGAAUUGAUUUAGUCCAACCACGUGAGAUACCCGGGUCGGGUGUCCCCGUGUGAGGCUGCACUGAAAGCACCUUUCCUGCCCUCCCUGCAGUUGACCUGGCAGCCCGCACCCCUGCCAGCCUGAGCUCCGGCCCUCCGGUGAGCCCUGGUUCUCUGCCAGCUGGCUCUCGCUGCCACUCCAGGCUCCCUGCAGCCCCCGCCACGUGCCUUGGCCCCCCUCCCUGCCUUUCUUGCCAUCUGCAAGACCUUCCUCCCCAGGCUCUGGCUCUGCACACUGGCCCUUUAACUGCCGCCACCUGUGCCCCCUGCACCCCCACCAGCACCGCAGCGGCAGAAGUCCGCUUCCUCUUGAGCAGCUGUGGUCCAGGCGGUGGGGUGCCAGCGCAGGGCUCUAUGCUGGCGUGUGUGCUGGGGCCUCUGUGCCUCUCUCCACAUGCUACCCGAGUCAGGAGGAAGGGCCCAGGGACGCACCGCCGUUAGUACUGGUUACCUUUGUCGAGGCUCUGAGAGGAUGGAGAAUUGAAGACAGGCCUCUGUGUUGAAUUGGAGCAAGCUGGGGAGGGAGGGCCUGGGCUGGAGGGAGGCUGGCAGCCCACCCCUGGGUGCUGGGAGGAGUGCACCAAGCUGCUCCUGCCAGUUAGGGAGCUGGAAGCUGCUUCCAGAAGCACGGGGUUAUCUCGUACAGGUACAGUGAACUGAACAGAGUUCUUACUUCCAGAAGGAGGAACAAACUCACCCCUCCUCGCUUGUCACUGCCUCGGCAGCUGUGCGCCUGCCAUUCCCGUUCCCUGCUCCUUCCUUCUCUCCCAGCAGCUCCCUCUGUGCCCCUAUCCACCGCUGCGGUUGGCCCUUCCUGUCCCCGAGCAUCUGUCCCCCCAGCUUCCCACAGCCCCUCCCUUUCUGAUCCAGAGGCCCUGCGUGUACAUCCCACACCUGUCUGCCUGCCAGCCACGGCUUCCUGGGUUAUUAAUAGAGCCAGUAGAUGACUUCUGGGAUGGAGCUUUUUAUUCCCCUAGAAAAAUUCCACCCGGUUAUUUUUUUCAGUCAACGGGCUUUCAUCGAUUUUUCUCCCCAUGGAUCAAUGAUCUUGUGCGGAAAAGCUUGCCACCACCCUGAGAAAUGCAGGCCUGGGAAGGAGUCCCAGGGCCUCUGAGGUCUGUGUGUGCCAAGCUGAGCCCCUGCCGUCUUGCUCGCCCUCACCACCCACCCACGGCACACACCCACGCACCGGAAGCGGGCACCUGCCUCCUUCCUCCCCGUCCAGCUGGUACUCAGGCGGGGUCACUGCCUUCGGGUCAGGUCUCCGGGCCGCUUUCCUCCACACUGCCCCCGGCCUCGCGCUGGGCGCCCUCUUCCCUGCGCCGCUCCUGGGAAGGCAGAUUCCUGGCAGGCAGAAAGGGACCACAGUAGUGGCGUCCCUGCAAAGAGCUCGCGCAAGGCCUGCUGAGGAAAAGCUGGAGCCAGCCUGGGCCCUCGGCGCCUACAGCAGCACCUCUGGCUGCUGUGGUCUGCAGACAGCUCCUUGGGAACCAGACUGAGAGUCACCACCCCUCCAGGAGCCUCUGCUGCUUUCCCAAUUCCCAGUGCAGACAGCCCUCGGGGUCAGGGAGGGGGCAGAGCGAACUUUCCACUUUAAAUUCCAACUGUACUUGCAGAUGCCGGCAGUUGCUUGAAGCCGGCCAGGCCCCAGCCUUAGGCCAAGUUGCGGGUUGGUUUUACAAGGUUCUGAUCCCAGGAACAACCCAACCCAGGAUGGAAUCAAGGAACUCAGGGUCAUGGGUGUGUGACUCUAUCUUGAGAGCGGCUUUCAAGACAGACCUCAGGGAGAGAACUCGGCAUUAAAUGAGGCUGGAACCUACAUCAGCUUAAACGUUGUAAAACAAGUAAGGCUAUCUCUGGAGUGGAGCCAGGGUCUCCGGGUCAAGGGGAGGUGAGGAAGCGCCUGGACCCGCAGGGGAGGUAAAUGGGGCAUACGGGGUGGAGGAGACUUCUCGGGGCCACUACCAGGCAGUGCCUCCACCUGGGCAUCUGUCUUGUGUCGGGCUUUCAGGACGACCUCACAGUUUGUAGGAAAGACUGUGCAAGUUACGGGGGUGUCUGCCUUCGGCUCCGGUCAUGAUCCCAGGUCCUGGGAUCGGCCCGCUAGGCUCCCUGCUCAGCGGGGGGGCCUGCUUCUCCCUCUGCCCCACUGCCCCUGCUCGUGUUCUCUCUCUGUCAAAUAAAUAAAAUCUUCAAAAAAAAAAAAAAAAGACCAAGUUAAGUGGGACAAAGCAUGAGAGAGAGAGGGCUAAGCAGCCUGUGCUUGCAUUCGAGAGCUUGCAUGGCUGGGGACCCUGCUUUGGAGCCCGAUUCUACCCUACCUUCUGGCUGUGGAGGGAGAUGCUGCAGGGGACACGGUUCGAGCGAUCGCACAGCCUGCGUCUGGUGGUGCUCCGGCCAGGGCUUCUCAGGGAAGCACAGAGCAAAGCAGGGGGGCGGGCAGCACUGGCCCCCAGUCAGAGACCUGAAUUCUAUUUUUCUCUGCUGCUAACUCUCUGUGUCCUCGGGUAGGUCUCCUCUGGGUUGAAACACUUAUUAUAUGGUAUCUAUGAGAAGCACCCACCCCCAAAUCACAACAUGGCCCAUUUCUGCUAGUUUUUACAUGGGCUUUUAUCUCUGACUUGCAAUAGCAUCCACGGGCUCAGGACCCAGGGUGGGGAGACUGCAGACCAAGGAGCACCCCUCAGCAGGACUAGGGCAUGGGCUCCAUCUAACCCGCUUCUGUGGGUGGGAUCAUCUGGCUAUGGAGACUGUCCUUGUGGAAGACAGCUUUCACUUGGGAGCUCUGUGGCUAACCUGCCCAGGAGCCCAUGAAUGCCCGGGGCCAGGGGCCACCUGUGUUUCACCCUGAGCCCAGCCAGCACAGGAAAUGCAGGAAAUGGUAGUUGGUCCAAGCGGAUGUGAGCGACAGUGGGUGGGCAGGCGGUUCCACUGAAGCCAGGUCCAGCCCAGACCUAACAGGUGUGUGAGCAGGUGUCGUGCUGUGGACAGGUGCUGCUGCCUGCGUUGGUGAGCCCUGGCACCUGGCACGGGGGGGGCGGGGGGCGCUGUGCUAGGUAGUGACAGCUGGACCUAGCUGGAGCCCGUUCAGGAUGGGGCUUGCAGGUGGGUGCUUAUCAAGCUGAAGUGGCUAGCAGAACCACAUUGGGGUGCAGGAGGCAGGCAGCUGGGGUGAAGCACUGAGAGCAGAGCGGUGGGGGUUUGGAGCCGUGGGACAUUGUCUCCAGUGCACCGGGGCAGCUGGCCAGAGCCCUGCCAGCUGCAUUAGUCUCAGGUGCGUCGUCCCCCAGAGGCACGGGGCAAGGGAAGGGGAUUCAACCUUCGUUCUUCCUCCAGAGGCUUCCAGGGGCUGUUGGCUGGGCCCAGGUGCCUUGCAAUCAUCCCGAGGGCCUGGGUACCAUUCCCACCAUUUCACACAGGAGGAAACUAAAACCCAGAGAAGAGAGGCGCCUGGGUGGCUCAGUCGGUAAAGCGUCUGCCUUGGGCUUGGGUCAUAUCUCCGGGUCCUGUGA